GACGAACGCUGGCGGCGUGCUUAACACAUGCAAGUCGAACGGAAAGGCCCUGCUUUUGUGGGGUGCUCGAGUGGCGAACGGGUGAGUAACACGUGAGUAACCUGCCCUUGACUUUGGGAUAACUUCAGGAAACUGGGGCUAAUACCGGAUAGGAGCUCCUGCUGCAUGGUGGGGGUUGGAAAGUUUCGGCGGUUGGGGAUGGACUCGCGGCUUAUCAGCUUGUUGGUGGGGUAGUGGCUUACCAAGGCUUUGACGGGUAGCCGGCCUGAGAGGGUGACCGGCCACAAUGGGACUGAGAUAAGGGCCAAAAUCCUAAGGGGAGGAAGAGUGGGGAAAAAUGGAACAAGGGCGGAAGCCUGAAGGAGGAACGGCGGGGGGGGGAAGAAGGCCUUUGGGGUGGAAACCGCUUUCGCCUGGGAAGGAGCGUGAGUGAAGGUAAAGGGGAAAGGAGCAACGGCUAACUAAGUG
rnacentral:rRNA from 1 species